rnacentral:rRNA from 1 species
GUUGACUUCGGAUCAGGUAGGGAU